rnacentral:rRNA from 1 species
GACGAACGCUGGCGGCGUGCCUAAUACAUGCAAGUAGAACGCAGUUGCGAACGGCUGAGUAACGCGUAGGUAGCUGCCCCAUAGCGGGGGAUAACUAUUGGAAACGAUAGUUAAUACCGCAUAAUGUGAGAUGAACCUGCGUUGGAUUAGAUAGUUGGUGAGGUAAAGGCUCACCAAGGCGACGAUACAUAGCCGACCUGAGUGGAGGAUGCGCCAUACUUUUGCUGAGACACGGCCCAGACGCCUACGGGAGGCAGCAGUAGGGAAUCUUCGGAAAUGGACGGAAGGCUGACCGAGCAACGCGGCGUGAGUGAAGAAGGUGUUCGGGUCGUAAAGCUCUGUUGUUAGAUAAGCGGUAACGAACCAGGAAGGGACGGCUAACUACGUGCCAGCAGCCGCGGUAAUAC